UACGUAGGGCGCAAGCGUUGUCCGGAAUUAUUGGGCGUAAAGAGCUCGUAGGCGGUUUGUCGCGUCUGCUGUGAAAACCCGGGGCUCAACUCCGGGCCUGCAGCCGAUACGGGCAGACUAGAGUUCGGCAGGGGAGACUGGAAUUCCUGGUGUAGCGGUGAAAUGCGCAGAUAUCAGGAGGAACACCGAUGGCGAAGGCAAUCCCCUGGACCUGUACUGACGCUCAUGCACGAAAGCGUGGGGAGCAAACAGG
rnacentral:rRNA from 1 species